UACGGGGGGGGCAAGCGUUGUUCGGAAUUACUGGGCGUAAAGGGCUCGUAGGCGGCCAACUAAGUCGGACGUGAAAUCCCUCGGCUUAACCGGGGAACGGCGUCCGAUACUGGAUGGCUUGAGUUCGGGAGAGGGAUGCGGAAUUCCAGGUGUAGCGGUGAAAUGCGUAGAUAUCUGGAGGAACACCGGUGGCGAAGGCGGCAUCCUGGACCGAUACUGACGCUGAGGAGCGAAAGCCAGGGGAGCAAACGGG
rnacentral:rRNA from 1 species